rnacentral:rRNA from 1 species
CUACGGUGAAUACGUUCCCGGACCUUGUACACACCGCCCGUCAAGCCAUGGAAGCUGGGUGUACCUAAAUCGAUAACCGUAAGGAGUCGCCUAGGGUAAAACUAGUAACUGGGGCU